rnacentral:lncRNA from 1 species
AUCUCCACAAGCCUUUGUCCAGUGUGCAGACUCACAGCCUUCGGGAGUUAAAAAAUAAAAAAGGUCGCAAUGCUUCCUGGGAUCUGUAGUCUAGCUCAGUGACCAUUAUGUGCGGGCAGGACGGGACCUUCCUUUUCCGCACUCUGUUUCCCAGAAGCAUUUGGGGAUGGCUAGUCUGUGGCUCCAUAGGCUAGCAAGCUUGCCGCCCAGUACAAUGCAUCAUGGGAAUGCUGCUUCCGUCUUUUUGAGUGCACCUCUGAUUCGCUGACCAGGAGAGAGUAAAGGAGCAAGAGCGCCAGCGUCGAACCGGCUCCUGGCUCGCGGCUUCCUGCUUCCUGUCCUGUCGGGAGGACCAAAGUGAGCGCGGGAGGAUCCCUGCCCUCCUUUUCCCCACCUUGGCUCAGCCCCGUAAAGACCCUGCUCUUCCCCAGCGGCAGAUGGAGGCCAAGGAGGGCCCGACUUCUGGCUUCCUCAUGGC